GAUGAACGCUGGCGGCGUGCCUAAUACAUGCAAGUCGAGCGAACAGACGAGGAGCUUGCUCCUCUGACGUUAGCGGCGGACGGGUGAGUAACACGUGGAUAACCUACCUAUAAGACUGGGAUAACCUCGGGAAACCGGAGCUAAUACCGGAUAAUAUAUUGAACCGCAUGGUUCAAUAGUGAAAGACGGUUUUGCUGUCACUUAUAGAUGGAUCCGCGCCGCAUUAGCUAGUUGGUACGGUAACGGCUUACCAAGGCAACGAUGCGUAGCCGACCUGAGAGGGUGAUCGGCCACACUGGAACUGAGACACGGUCCAGACUCCUACGGGAGGCAGCAGUAGGGAAUCUUCCGCAAUGGGCGAAAGCUUGACGGAGCAACGCCGCGUGAGUGAUGAAGGUCUUCGGAUCGUAAAACUCUGUUAUUAGGGAAGAACAAAUGUGUAAGUAACUAUGCACGUCUUGACGGUACCUAAUCAGAAAGCCACGGCUAACUACGUG
rnacentral:rRNA from 1 species